rnacentral:rRNA from 1 species
ACCAGACUCCUACGGGAGGCAGCAGUGGGGAAUAUUGCACAAUGGGGGAAACCCUGAUGCAGCGACGCCGCGUGAGUGAAGAAGUAUUUCGGUAUGUAAAGCUCUAUCAGCAGGAACGAGACAAGACGGUACCUGACUAAGAAGCCCCGGCUAACUACGUGCCAGCAGCCGCGGUAAUACGUAGGGGGCAAGCGUUAUCCGGAAUCACUGGGUGUAAAGGGAGCGUAGACGGCUGAGCAAGCCUGAAGUGAAAGGCGGGGGCCCAACCCCCGGACUGCUUUGGGAACUGUACGGCUGGAGUGCAGGAGAGGUAAGUGGAAUUCCUAGUGUAGCGGUGAAAUGCGUAGAUAUUAGGAGGAACACCAGUGGCGAAGGCGGCUUACUGGACUGUAACCGACGUUGAGGCUCGAAAGCGUGGGGAGCAAACAGGAUUAGAUACCCCUGUA